GACGAACGCUGGCGGCGUGCCUAAUACAUGCAAGUAGAACGCUGAGGUUUGGUGUUUACACUAGACUGAUGAGUUGCGAACGGGUGAGUAACGCGUAGGUAACCUGCCUCAUAGCGGGGGAUAACUAUUGGAAACGAUAGCUAAUACCGCAUAAGAGUAAUUAACACAUGUUGGUUAUUUAAAAGGAGCAAUUGCUUCACUGUGAGAUGGACCUGCGUUGUAUUAGCUAGUUGGUGAGGUAAAGGCUCACCAAGGCGACGAUACAUAGCCGACCUGAGAGGGUGAUCGGCCACACUGGGACUGAGACACGGCCCAGACUCCUACGGGAGGCAGCAGUAGGGAAUCUUCGGCAAUGGACGGAAGUCUGACCGAGCAACGCCGCGUGAGUGAAGAAGGUUUUCGGAUCGUAAAGCUCUGUUGUUAGAGAAGAACGUUGGUAGGAGUGGAAAAUCUACCAAGUGACGGUAACUAACCAGAAAGGGACGGCUAACUACGUGCCAGCAGCCGCGGUAAUACGUAGGUCCCGAGCGUUGUCCGGAUUUAUUGGGCGUAAAGCGAGCGCAGGCGGUUCUUUAAGUCUGAAGUUAAAGGCAGUGGCUUAACCAUUGUACGCUUUGGAAACUGGAGGACUUGAGUGCAGAAGGGGAGGGUGGAAUUCCAUGUGUAGCGGUGAAAUGCGUAGAUAUAUGGAGGAACACCGGUGGCGAAAGCGGCUCUCUGGUCUGUAACUGACGCUGAGGCUCGAAAGCGUGGGGAGCAAACAGG
rnacentral:rRNA from 1 species